ensembl:snRNA U4 U4 spliceosomal RNA
AGCUUUGCCCAGUGGCAAUAUCAUAACUAGUGCAGUUUAUACAAGGUACAAUUAUUGCUAACUGAAAACUUUGUCUAACACCCACCAUGAAAACUUGAAAUAUAGUUGGCAUUGGCAAUUUUUGAUAGCCUCUAUGGAGA